UUAGAGUUUGAUCCUGGCUCAGGACGAACGCUGGCGGCGUGCUUAACACAUGCAAGUCGAACGAUGAAGAGAGCUUGCUCUUGGAUUAGUGGCGAACGGGUGAGUAACACGUGAGUAACCUGCCCUUAACUCUGGGAUAAGCCUGGGAAACUGGGUCUAAUACCGGAUAUGACCUGUCACCGCAUGGUGGUGGGUGGAAAGAUUUUUUGGUUUUGGAUGGACUCGCGGCCUAUCAGCUUGUUGGUGAGGUAAUGGCUCACCAAGGCGACGACGGGUAGCCGGCCUGAGAGGGUGACCGGCCACACUGGGACUGAGACACGGCCCAGACUCCUACGGGAGGCAGCAGUGGGGAAUAUUGCACAAUGGGCGCAAGCCUGAUGCAGCGACGCCGCGUGAGGGAUGAAGGCCUUCGGGUUGUAAACCUCUUUCAGUAGGGAAGAAGCGAAAGUGACGGUACCUGCAGAAGAAGCGCCGGCUAACUACGUGCCAGCAGCCGCGGUCGCC
rnacentral:rRNA from 1 species